rnacentral:rRNA from 1 species
CCCUACGGGGGGCAGCAGUGGGGAAUAUUGCACAAUGGGGGAAACCCUAAUGCAGCAACGCCGCGUGAGUGAAGAAGUAUUUCGGUAUGUAAAGCUCUAUCAGCAGGGAAGAAGAUGACGGUACCUGAUUAAGAAGCCCCGGCUAACUACGUGCCAGCAGCCGCGGUAAUACGUAGGGGGCAAGCGUUAUCCGGAUUUACUGGGUGUAAAGGGAGCGUAGACGGCGGGGCAAGUCCGGAGUGAA